rnacentral:misc_RNA from 1 species
UUUCCGUAGGUGAACCUGCGGAAGGAUCAUUACUGAGUGAGGGCCCUCUGGGUCCAACCUCCCACCCUUUUUUAUUGUACCUUGUUGCUUCGGUGAGCCCGCCUCACAGCCGCCGGCGGGCAUCUGUCUCCGGGACCGCGCUUGCCGAAGACACACUUGAACUCUGUUUAAAGUUUGCAGUCUGAGCGAAAACUAAAUAAGUUAAAACUUUCAACAACGGAUCUCUUGGUUCUG